AGUGAACGCUGGCGGUAGGCCUAACACAUGCAAGUCGAACGGCAGCACAGUAAGAGCUUGCUCUUACGGGUGGCGAGUGGCGGACGGGUGAGGAAUACAUCGGAAUCUACUUUUUCGUGGGGGAUAACGUAGGGAAACUUACGCUAAUACCGCAUACGACCUACGGGUGAAAGCAGGGGAUCUUCGGACCUUGCGCGAUUGAAUGGGCCGAUGUCGGAUUAGCUAGUUGGCGGGGUAAAGGCCCACCAAGGCGACGAUCCGUAGCUGGUCUGAGAGGAUGAUCAGCCACACUGGAACUGAGACACGGUCCAGACUCCUACGGGAGGCAGCAGUGGGGAAUAUUGGACAAUGGGCGCAAGCCUGAUCCAGCCAUACCGCGUGGGUGAAGAAGGCCUUCGGGUUGUAAAGCCCUUUUGUUGUGAAAGAAAAGCAGCAGGUUAAUACCCCGCUGUUCUGACGGUACCCAAAGAAUAAGCACCGGCUAACUUCGUG
rnacentral:rRNA from 1 species